rnacentral:lncRNA from 1 species
UGCAAAGGUUCUGAAGGGCUCAGAUAAAGACCACUGUGAAGAGAAAAGUAUACGAAGACUCCGGUAUCCCCCUUCCAGCUGAGUCACCCAAGAAAGGUCCCAAGAAGAUGACAUCCGGUGUCCUCUCACCUCCAAACGCCCCUCCGCCCAGCAGCUCCAGUGUCCCUGAAGCUGGGGGUCCUCCCAUAAAGAAACAGAAGGCUGAUGUGACACUCAGUGCUCUGAACGACUCCGACGCCAACAGUGACCUGGUGGAUGUCGAAGGGCUAGGAGAAACUCCUCCAGCCAAGAAACUCAACUUUGACCAGGACAGCCUGACCCUGGACUCUGGCCUUCUCUCGACCUCUGCUGAUGCUCCUCUACUCUCCUGCUGAGCCUUCCACCUCUGACCCUCAUUGUUCACCCUGGACCUGUGGAUCGCCUGGGACUCUAAGCAAGGACUGCACGAGAGAGGGUCAGAGGGCUGCUGGAGCUACCCGCCCUGUUCCUGAUAACCACCUCACCCUUUGACUUCUGUCUGAUGGACGUUUUUAUACAGAAAAUUAUAAUUAAAAAUAAUUCUCUCAGC